rnacentral:rRNA from 1 species
AUGAAAUUUUCAUAUACGGCUCUUAGAGGGGGACUAGGGUUAGUUACCUAUCUCAAUAAAGUAUAUGAUUGGUUUGAGGAACGUCUUGAGAUUCAGGCAAUUGCAGAUGAUAUAACUAGUAAAUAUGUUCCUUCCCAUGUCAACAUAUUUUAUUGUCUAGGGGGAAUUACUCUUACUUGUUUUCUAGUACAAGUCGCUGUCGGUUUUUCUAUGACUUUUUACUACCGACCAAUCAUUACAGAGGCUUUUUCCUUGGUUCAAUACAUAAUGACCAAGUCCAACUUUGGUUGGUUAAUCCAAUCAGCUCAUUGA